rfam:Capsicum annuum cultivar Zunla-1 chromosome 11, whole genome shotgun sequence
GUUCCUUCGGGGACAUCCGAUAAAAUUGAAACAAUACUGAGAAGAUGAAUAGCAUGGCCACAGAUGACACACACAAAUCGAGAAAUGAUUCAAUAUUUU